rnacentral:rRNA from 1 species
ACGAAACGCUUGCGGCAUGCCUGAGAAAAUGCAAGUCGAACGGAGUGUGAGGGCAAUCUUGUCACUUAGUGGCGAACGGUCGAGUAACGCGUAAGCAACCUGCCCGGAAGCGGGGAUGGAUAAGCCACCGAAAGGUGGGGUACUACCGCAUAUCUCCGCUUGGGACAUCCUUGGUGGAGAGAAGAUUUAUCACUUCCGGAGGGGCUUGCGUCCUAUCAGCUAGUCGUGGUGGUAACGGCCUACCGAGGCGACGACGGGAGGUAGCGGGUCUGAGAGGACGAUCCGCCGGACUGGGACUGAGACACGGCCCAGACUCCUACGGGGGGCAGCAAUCAGGGAUUCUUGCACAAUGAGCGAAAGCUAGAUGCAGCGAUUGCCGCGUGGACGAGGAAGUCUUUCGGGAUGUAAAGUCCUUUCGGAGGGAAGAUGAUGACGGUACCCUCCGGAAUAAGCCCCGGCUAACUACGUGCCAGCAGCCGCGGGUGGAAUACGUAGGGGGGCGAGCGUUGUCCGGAAUUAUUGGGCGUAAAGGGCGCGCCAGGCGGUCUGUUAAGUCGUGGUGAAAGACCGGGGCUCAACCCCGGAGCGUCCGCAGAGACUGCAGACUGGAGUAUCGGAGAGGAGUGCGGAAUAUCUGGUUGUAGCGGUGGAUGGAAUGCGUAGAGAUCAGAUGGAACACCGAUGGCGAAGGCAGCACUCUGGCCGAAGUUACUGACGCUGAGGCGCGAAAGCUGGGGAGCGAACGGAUUAGAUACCCCGGUAGUCCCAGCCGUAAACGAUGACGACUAGGUGUGGGCGGAGGUUAUCCGUCGCGUGCCGCAGCUUAACGCAUGAAGUCGUCCGCCUGGGGAGUACGGCCGCAAGGUUGAAACUCAAAGGAAUUGACGGGGGCCCGCACAAGCGGUGGAGCAUGGGGUUUAAUUCGUCACUAACCGAAGAACCUUACCCAGACUCGACAUCCCCGGACCGCCGGUGAAAGCCGGUUUUCUCGCAAGGAGAACCGGGAGACAGGUGUUGCAUGGCUGUCGUCAGCUCGUGUCGUGAGAUGUUGGGUUAAGUCCCGCAACGAGCGCAACCCUCACCGUAUGUUGCCAGCGGAAACGCGCACUCAUGCGGAACUGCCGGGGGUAACCGGAGGAAGGCGGGGAUGACGUCAGGUCGGCAUGGCCCUUACGUCUGGGGCUACACCCAUGCUACAAUGGAUCGGACAGAGGGCAGGCAAGACCGCGAGGUGGAGCGAAUCCCAAAAACCGGUCCCCAAUUGGAAUUGGAGUCUGCAACUCGACUCCAUGAACGUGGAAUCGCUAGUAAACGCCGGUCAGCAAAACAGCGUUGAAUCCGUUCCCGGGCCCUUGUACACACCGCCCGUCCACGUCACCUGAGUCUGCUGCACCCGAAGCGCCUGGCCGAACCCGCAAGGGACGGAGGGUGCGAAGGUGUGGCCGGUAAGGGGGACG